UUUUUUUUUGUGAGGAAGAUCAGCCCUGAGCUAACAUCCAUGCUAAUCCUCCUCUUUUUGCUGAGGAAGACUGGCUCUGAGCUAACAUCUAUUGCCAAUCCUCUUCCUUUCCCCACCCCCAAGCCCCAGUAGAUAGUUGUAUGUCAUAGUUGCACAUCCUUCUAGUUGCUGUAUGUGGGACGCGGCCUCAGCAUGGCUGGAGAAGCUGUGCCUCAGUGCGCGCCCGGGAUCCGAACCCAGGCUGCCAGUAGCGGAGCGCACGCACUUAACUGCUAAGCCACGGGGCCGGCCCCGAAAAUAUGUUUUUAGCUGUCAUUUGAAAAUACAGCUUCAGGUAAAACUCACACAUCCCUGACGUCAAGGACUGUAUCCAGAUCAGUAAUAAAUUCCCAAAGCCUAACACAGUUCCUGGAGGUUAUUAGGUGCUAAAUAGAGUUUUGGUGAAUCCUCUAUUUUACCUUAUUUCCACCGAUUAUGGCAUUAAAUACUAGAAACUAAAAAGUUUUAAAGUGCUUCAUUUUAUGUAAGCAUAUCUCCAUCAUAGAGUUAGAUGCGUUCUGAGAAUGUGGCUCAUUACUCAGGGCGUACUUGGAAGGUGAGAACCUCUUGGGACUACUGAAGUCUGUUAAUUCACACCAGCUGAUGUGGCCUGAACUUUCAAGUCGUUAUAUAUAGGCCUGGCUCACUCGGUGGUACCUCAUGACUUAGAGUGAGAUAGAGAAGCUACAAAACAUGUGAUCUGAGGGAAGAGAAAGCCAGGCCUGCCUCCUGCACCAGCAGCAUAGGAUCUCUCCAGCCAUGGAAAAAGCCCUGCACCUCUGUGUGGGCUUUAUAUUCAGGACAUAGACUUGGUGUUAACUUAUUGCACAUAGUAAUGCCACUUAAUCAGAAAGCUAUGUUAGCUGUAAAAUUCCUUUAAUAGUACUUCCUUCUUGCUACGUGUAUCUUGUGAUUGAGUAGAGGACACUUAAUUCCACCGAAUUAUACUGCAAAAACAAUCAAUUUGUAAAGGAAGAUAACUUUUGGUUUUAAAAAAUAACUGGAGAAGGCAAGUUUGAAUCUUUAAAAAGAUUCAUCUCACCAGUGAUAUGGCUGUCAUCUUACCAUUGGUAAUCUGGAAGAGUAGUAUUUUCUUAUAUUUUAAGGCUCAAAUAAGUUAAUUUAUUCCUUACCUUGAUAUAAUUUUAUAAAUGACUUUGGAGUAGAAGAUGGUGGUGAUAAUGAUCGUUUGUGUCUUGAUUUAAAAGGAUUGGCUCAUUUAAUUUUCAUAACCAGCUUUCAAAACCAGGUGCUUUUGUCAUGUCCAUUUUACAGCUGAGGAAACUAAGGCUCAGAACAGUUAGGUAACUUGUCCAAGGUCACACAGCUUGUAAGUGGCAGAACUGGGAUUCAAAUCUAGGCCAUCUGACUCUACACCCACCUUCCUGAUCAAUGAGUUACACUGCUUUUUUAAAGCCUCACCCCCACUACACUUUACACACUCUAACUAGAUCGAAGAUGCCCGCUUCCACCUGGGAAAUACCACCGGACUUGAGAAAAUUGGCUGCCAGGAUCUGGGCCUGUGUUCCAGCUACACUUGCCUUGCCUGGCCUUGAACUCACCAGGCAUAUUUCCCUUUUGGGUCUUUUGUAUUUGAUGUGUCCUCUGCUUGGAACAUUGUUCAUCCACAACUCAUCUCUUUCUUCAAGUCUCUGCUCCUAUCAGUUCCCCAGAGGGGCUUCCCUGCCCACCCCAGCAGCCCCCUUCACUCCGUAUCCUUUUGCCUGGCUUUAUUUUUUGUUAUCACUACCUGACAACAUAUAUCCCUUCUUACUCCUUACUCUAGACUAGAAGCUACCUGAGGACAGAGACUGUGUCUUUCAUUUAUCAUGACUUUUCUCAUUCAAUCUAAGAUACCCUUUUCCCACAAAUUAGCUCUGAAAAUCUUUGUGUGUUGUAUGAUCAACAGUGUGUCCUAGUUUAAUUGGUAGCAUUUGUUUCUUUCUUAAUUACACCUACAGUAAAUAGUGAGUCUUUAAAAUAAUGGUGUCUUGGAGUUGAUGAAAAUACAGUAUAUCCUUAGGGCUAAACUCUUGUCUGGCACAGAGUUGGCACUCAGUAAUUACUUGUCAAGUGAAAGCAUUGAGUGUUCACUAUGUGUCAGAGACUAUUUACAUUUGUUUAAUCCCCACAAUUAUCCUGUUACGAAAUGCUUUCUGUUACCAAGCAGUGUGGUGGUGGGAAUUAAAUGAGUGUUGAUCAUUGUGGAAGACGGGAGAGUGGAGAGAGCUCCGUCCCAGGCUUCUCUGCUGUGGGACCGCAGUGUCGAGUUGCCUUUCACGUCCUCAGUUCCCGCUCGUUCUUUUCACAGACCUUAGUGAAUACCUGCCGCUCGCCCAGGGCUGUGUGUAAGCAGAGGCACAGGAUGCUGUGUGCGCCCAGCCCAGUCUGGAGGUGCAGGGGGUGUCUCACAGAAGGCUUCCUGGAGGAGGUUCUGGCUAAGCUGGGUUUGAAGGGAACAGAUGAAGAACAGCAUUUAAACGGAAGAUGAUAAUAAAAGCUAGUACUUCUAAAGCUCUUACUGUGUGUCAGAAAACUCGUUCAAAUCCUCACAACAGUCCUAUGGGAUUACCCUCAUCAUCAUCUUCAUUUUCCAGGUGAGGAAAUGGAAGCAAAGAGAAGCAGAGUAACUUGCCUGAGGUCACACAGCUAGUGAGUGGUGGAGCUAGAAUUUGAACCAAGGCAGUCGGGCUAGAGUCUGCGCUCCCUCUGAUGAGAUGCCUUAAAUGACGAGCUCGUUUGGACACGUUGAACUUGAGAGAUCCGUGGGGCAGCCGCGUGGAGGUGUCCAGGAGGCAGGAAGAUACGCGGGUCUGAAGCUCAAGUGAGAGAUAGGACUGGAAAUGAAUUGUGGAGUCAGCAUGCAGGUGGUCAUUGAAGCCACAGGAGAGGGCGAGCGCCCCCAAGGAGAAGGUGGGAAAUAAUAGGAGGCGAGGAACAGAGGGACCCUGGAAGGCAAGCGCAAGCGUUGCAGUUGUGGGGAAGAUAUCUUCCCUUCUGCAGAUUAAUAAAGUGGCAUCUGGUUUAUAGAU